UAAAUAUUUUGAAAAUUUGUCUUUGAGGCUGAAAGUAAUCUAAGAUUCCUGGCCGGUUACAACGCUAAACCUAUAAGGGUGGGUUUGGGUUGUGACACUGCCCCUAUACAAGCCAGCUCUGGUGCGAUAUAGUUGGUUCCUCGAGCACUUCUGGAGGAGUCAGCCUAAGAUGCAGGAGGAGGUAGAGCAAUACGCUUGGGGCUUCUUGAUGUACCUUCUUGGUACCACCUUUUUCGCGGACAGGUGGAAUACCGUGGAUAUGUACUUGUUGAAUGCCCUUGUGACCCUACCCUAGGUCCGAUUUUACGACUGGGGUGGAGCCAGCCUUGCCACACUCUACGUCUACAUGAGCUUCAGUUCCCGCAUAAAGGGAGACAGGGUUAGAAGUUACUGGAGAGCAUGGGAGUUGUGGAUUUACCCCUAUUUCCCAACCAUUGCUCCAGAGCCGAUGGAAGAGAUUGCUCUGGCCGUGCCCUACUUGUGGCGGUAUGAUGGCAGAUGCCGCCACUGGAGCCUCGAGGACAAGACCUUUGCCUUCUAUCGUCGCUACUUCGACACAGUGGUUGCCCGCGAGGUAAUCUGAAACUCACAAUCAUUUCUACCUUCUUCCCCUUGCUACUGUUAUGAUCUAUAUUCUGACAACUGAAAGUAACUAACAUCUUGUACCUUCUCUAUUUGCAGAUCACGUGAUAGCCAUGGGUGACGAUGCUAGCAGGAGUUAGAGACCAAUAUGUUAUGGCUUGGGCUACCUCUCGAUACUGGAUUUUGCUGGAGGGCCCAUUCUGCCAGGCUUGGUUCUUGGGAGAACGGUUUGUACACCAGACACUGGGCUUGCCUGCCUCGGUUGUUCCUAUGCCGCCUCCAGCAUCCAUGAGGACAACUGAUAGCCUCUUAGCUGAAGCCAUUAUUCAGUAUAUGGUAGGGCUGGAUGCCAACUACUUCAGAGGGGAGGUCGACUACACGACCUUCAUCCAGACUCAUCUUAUGCCACCCUUGACUAGGGUUCACGCAAGCGACAUAUCAGGUGCUCUUUUGGCUGGAGAGGCUGAUCAGGAGGUCGAGGCUGGUAUUGGAGCGGCCCCUCCUAUUGUGCGGGAAAUUCCCACUACGAUCCCUUACGGGCGACCAAAGCCUGAUUGAGCCAUCAGAGGCUGGGCACAGGUAUGUCAGAGCCCUGGGCGCACCUUAGGUAUGGACCAUACUUGAUACCUUGCAUCCUGUAGUCUUCCUCUUUUCGGAUAUUGAUUAUUCAAUUUCACUUCCAAGCACCCACAGAGUAUACAAAGGGCCUUCUUCUACUGGUUACCUCUCAAGUUCACAUGGUGCAGAUGAGGGAGAUGCUAUUCACUUUGCAUAGUAUCCAGGUUCCACUUGCACCAAGGGCAUCGGCAGCACUUCCUCCAGCGGCAGAGAAGAUAGGUAGAUAUGCUCCAAUACGCGGCCGUGAUGAGUGUUGAGACCAAGGCAUAAACAGAGGUGCUCAGAGUCGGAGCAGCUAUGAGCUAGUUUUGAGUGGGGAUCAUACUAAGACCAGCGACUCCAAGGAGGCAGUGAGCCGACGCUUUGAGUCUGAGAGCGAAGACGAUGAUGCUUGCUCGGGAUCAAAGAGCGGAGACGAGGCCGAGGCUGGCUCUGAGUUAAGGAGCGGAGAUGAUGACACUGGCUUUGGCUCGGAGCCUGAUUCUGAUAGCGACACCGAUGGAGACAGUGCCCCUGAGUCUCCUUCGAGGAAGAGGACAAAGAGGGCUUCUCGAACUUGAUAUGAAUGGCACAAAUUUUUGUACUCUUUUUCUUAGUUUCCUUUAUUUUGGUAGUUUAACACAUGUAUAGCUUCAGAUAGGCUUUUACUUUCGCUUUUGAAAACUUGUACUCUCUUUUGUAAAAAAACUAUGAUCGGGGGAAAACCCUAUAGUUUUAUGAAAAGAGUUAUUGUUUUUACAUCA